rnacentral:rRNA from 1 species
AUGGCCUUCCCCCACCCCCUGGCCUGCCACCCACCUCCUCGACCCGCCACCAGGGAGGAGUCCCGCUCGGUCCCCUCGUCCUCCUCCUCUGUGUCGAUCCACCUCCAUGGCCGCCGAGCCACCACCUUACGCCGCUCGUUCGUCGCCGCACUGCUGCGUCCUGCUUCUCCCGACGCCGCUCCGCGCCAAGUCUCAACCGGAGCACCGCGCUUCUGCCGUCACCGCACCAAGCUCCCUGCUCCUGCCGCCGGAGCCCUGCACCAGGCUCGACCCCGAGCAGCAUCGCUCCGCUUCUCCACUGGAGCUCUUCUCCCGCCGUCGCUGUCCAAGUCCAGCAAGCCACUGCACCGCUGCCUCGUUGCAGCUGCUCCUUCGUUGUUCCGUUCCGCUGCCUCCCGCGUCCGGUCGCCGCUGGUGCCCACGACCAGCGAUGUGCCUCUGCUCGUGGAUGCCGCUGCCAGUGUGCGCACCCUGCUGCUACUCCAUCGGCCGCCUCCCUUCGUUGACCACCAAGAACCGAGGCCUAUUUUGUUGCUUCGUUUGGAUGCGUCAAGUUCCUCUACUAGCCGUGCACGCCUCUGGAUUCGUCCAAGUUCCGACGAUGUUUUUGUACAACUAUGCCGCGGAGACCAAGACCGGCAAGUCCACACGAGAGACCGAAUGACUACUUCCACGAUGAUGCGAGUACAAGUACCUUCGACGUGUUUUUUUCGCCAAGUACCGCGACACCCAGAUCCCUCGGAUCAGUCAAGUUCAUCUAUGAAAACAUGUAUGACCGUCGUCGAGACCGCAAAGUACCUCUACGCACGGAUAUCGCCAAGUACCACGAUACCGAUGACAUCCACUACUACUGUCACCGAGGGUUUCGUCAAGUUCAACUUCUUUGGCUGCGAACGGUGA